CUUCUACUUGUGAUGCCUUUCGUGGUGACGGUCAUCACCUAUUAACUGCCUUGUGCUGGAACCAUCUCCUGUUGAUGAUUAUCUUCUGCUGCUUCUCUCCUGGUGUUUAGUCUGCUGCGAACUGAUUUUUGGCUUCUUAUUAUGUGACUGCCUUUUCCCAGUGUCUGCUCUUUCUAGUGCCUAUCCUCUGCUGAUGGUUGUCAUCCUUAGUUCUACAUGCUGCUGGAGUCUGGCUUGUAUAGGUGAGUAUUCCCUUCAGCUGGUUAACAAAUUCUGCUGGCGUUCCCUUUCUCCUGAUAUCUGACCUCGAAUGAUUCUGUUUUUGCUUGUGAGUGACUCCAGUUGACACUAACUUCUGCUGGUGACCGUAAUGUGCUGGUGACUGCUUACUGCUAAGACUGCCUUCUGUUACUGACUGCCUCUUCCUCCUGACUGCUCUCCACUGAUAGUUGAAUUUUGGUCAGAUUUUUCCAAUGGCUUCCGGAGCGAAUCCCACUUCCGUGUCGUAGAAUUAUGUGCCGACCUUCACCAUAUCGGCAAGUAAGGCGGUGCUGUACCCGAUCCUGCAGGGAUUACUUGUUGUGAAUGGUUCCUCAAAGAAUAUCUUUACUGCUGGCAAGGCUCUAUCCAAUGCACUGCUCACUAAUUUUAUCUGAAUGCAACAGGGAUCCUGAUUCAGACUAAUUCAACUAUUCUUUGAAGAAGCAGAGCAAAGAUGCUAAAAACUAUUCACGUUUGGGCACCACCUGCUGAUGCAAACCAGUAACACAAGGAGCAUGUCUUGCAGAGCUUAUUAUAAAAAUGUCUUAAAUACAAAGUCAAAUAUA